CUGCUGGAGUGCGGGGGGGACCUCCAGCCCCCCGGGGGGUCCCUGACUCUGCUCUGCCGCGCCUCGGGGUUCAGUUUCAGAAGUUAUGGAAUGAUGUGGGUCCGCCAGAGCAUUGGGAAGGGGCUGGAAUGGGUCGCAGGGAUUGACAAUGAUGCAGACACCCGGUACGCGCCGUCGGUCAAGGGCCGGUUCUCGAUCUCCAGGGACAACGGGCAGAGUUCGGUGACGCUGACCAUGAACAACCUCAAGGACGAGGAUUCCGCCGUUUAUUUCUGCGCCAAAGCUGAUAGUACUGAUGGAAAUAUUGUUGGUGCUAUUGAAGUUGACGGUGCCAUUCUCAUCCCCGUCACUGUUCCCCCAACCCUCCCCAAAUGUCCCCAGACCCUUCCCCCAGACCUCACCCCUUGA